rnacentral:lncRNA from 1 species
AAAGAUAGAACUAGAUUUACAAUCUCACACAUUGACAUGAACUUGAACAGCAUACUUUUCAUUCAUAACUUGUAAGGAUUUUUAGUAAAACACAAUCUCUGCUACAAUAAGACUAUUAAAAUCUGUACUACAACAAAGCAACUAUAUCAAGAACAGUACCAACGAACACCAAACUUGACGUCUUUCCUGCUUCCUUUCUCGUGAACCAAUUCCCAUCAUUCUUCAAGAACAUACCUUGUUUAACUCUGCAAGUUCGAUCUUUCUUUCCUUCUUCCUCUUGGUCUGGAAUGUGGGAGUCUUGGUCUGGAAUGUGGGAGUCGAGGGAAGAAGAGGGUCUUCUGCCCGG